GAGACAUUCUUAUAGACCUCUGCAUUCGACAAGGAGGAAAGCAUCAUUUUCUGUGCUGAAAAGAUUGUUUUUUUGGAUGAAGUUAGUUCAAGCAUAAGAUGAAGAAAGGCACAGAGGAUCCUUUCCAGUAUGAGCCUGGACCUGGGAAUUCACACUCUGAUGGACAAAGCUCACCUCAACCAUUUACUGUGCAGGAAUAUAUUUCCAACCUCUCUGAGGAUGACUGGAUGGCUUUCAGUAGCCUGUUGAAUCCCCCUAUGACAAGGAGCCAGUUUGUAGAGAUUUGUCAGACUGUGUUGAAGGUGGCCAGCUCUAGCUCCAUGGGUAUGAUUCUACCAGUGUUUGCACGUAUGGAGAGAGAUCUGGAGUGCUACUCAUAUAGCCCCUCAAGGUAA